rnacentral:rRNA from 1 species
CAUUACUGUGAUUUAGUACUACACUGCGUGAGCGGAACGAAAACAACAACACCUAAAAUGUGGAAUAUAGCAUAUAGUCGACAAGAGAAAUCUACGAAAAAACAAACAAAACUUUCAACAACGGAUCUCUUGGUUCUCGCAUCGAUGAAGAGCGCAGCGAAAUGCGAUACCUAGUGUGAAUUGCAGCCAUCGUGAAUCAUCGAGUUCUUGAACGCACAUUGCGCCCCUCGGCAUUCCGGGGGGCAUGCCUGUUUGAGCGUCGUUUCCAUCUUGCGCGUGCGCAGAGUUGGGGGAGCGGAGCGGACGACGUGUAAAGAGCGUCGGAGCUGCGACUCGCCUGAAAGGGAGCGAAGCUGGCCGAGCGAACUAGACUUUUUUUUCAGGGACGCUUGGCGGCCGAGAGCGAGUGUUGCGAGACAACAAAAAGCUCGACCUCAAAUCAGGUAGGAAUACCCGCUGAACUUAAGCAUAUCAAUAAGCGGAGGAAAAGAAACCAACAGGGAUUGCCUCAGUAGCGGCGAGUGAAGCGGCAAGAGCUCAGAUUUGAAAUCGUGCUUUGCGGCACGAGUUGUAGAUUGCAGGUUGGAGUCUGUGUGGAAGGCGGUGUCCAAGUCCCUUGGAACAGGGCGCCCAGGAGGGUGAGAGCCCCGUGGGAUGCCGGCGGAAGCAGUGAGGCCCUUCUGACGAGUCGAGUUGUUUGGGAAUGCAGCUCCAAGCGGGUGGUAAAUUCCAUCUAAGGCUAAAUACUGGCGAGAGACCGAUAGCGAACAAGUACUGUGAAGGAAAGAUGAAAAGCACUUUGAAAAGAGAGUGAAACAGCACGUGAAAUUGUUGAAAGGGAAGGGUAUUGCGCCCGACAUGGGGAUUGCGCACCGCUGCCUCUCGUGGGCGGCGCUCUGGGCUUUCCCUGGGCCAGCAUCGGUUCUUGCUGCAGGAGAAGGGGUUCUGGAACGUGGCUCUUCGGAGUGUUAUAGCCAGGGCCAGAUGCUGCGUGCGGGGACCGAGGACUGCGGCCGUGUAGUCACGG